rnacentral:rRNA from 1 species
UCGUCAGCUCGUGUCGUGAGAUGUUGGGUUAAGUCCCGCAACGAGCGCAACCCUUGUUAUUAGUUGCCAGCAUUAAGUUGGGCACUCUAAUGAGACUGCCGGUGACAAACCGGAGGAAGGUGGGGAUGACGUCAAGUCAUCAUGCCCCUUAUGACCUGGGCUACACACGUGCUACAAUGGGCAGUACAACGAGAAGCAAGCCUGCGAAGGCAAGCGAAUCUCUGAAGGCUGUUCUCAGUUCGGACUGCAGUCUGCAACUCGACUGCACGAAGCUGGAAUCGCUAGUAAUCGCGGAUCAGCACGCCGCGGUGAAUACGUUCCCGGGCCUUGUACACACCGCCCGUCACACCAUGGGAGUCUGCAAUGCCCAAAGCCGGUGGCCUAACCUUCGGGAAGGAGCCGUCUAAGGCAGGGCAGAUGACUGGGGUGAAGUCGUAACAAGGUAACCGUA